UGCGAUGAGAGACCGGUCCCAUUGAGGGAGACCGAUUGCAUCGCGCGUAGCCUGCACAGUCCGCGGGAGGAGCUCUCGGGGAUCAGUCCCAGGUCGGGGAGACCAGUCCCUCACUGCGAAAAAUGCCCAGUUUGGGCAAUGUGCUGGAAAUAAAGUGGAGGGGCCUUGUUGUAAUUAUUACAACACAUUAUAUACCCAACCCCCUC
rnacentral:lncRNA from 1 species